UACGGGGGGGAGCAAGCGUUGUUCGGAUUUACUGGGCGUAAAGGGCGCGUAGGCGGCCACCGCAAGUCGACUGUGAAAUCUCCGGGGCUUAACCCGGAAAGGUCAGCCGAUACUGCGGGGCUAGAGUGCAGAAGGGGCAACUGGAAUUCUCGGUGUAGCGGUGAAAUGCGUAGAUAUCGAGAGGAACACCUGCGGCGAAGGCGGGUUGCUGGGCUGACACUGACGCUGAGGCGCGAAAGCUAGGGGAGCGAACGGG
rnacentral:rRNA from 1 species